GACGAACGCUGGCGGCGUGCCUAAUACAUGCAAGUCGACCUUAGUGGCGAACGGGUGAUUAACACGUGGGUAACCUGCCCAUCAGUAGGGGAUAACUCUUGGAUACAGGCGCUAAUACCGUAUACUGAUGGAUGGACCCGCGGUGCAUUCGCUAGUUGGUGAGGUAACGGCUCACCAAGGCCACGAUGCAUGGCCGACCUGGGAGUGGUAUCGGCCACAUGGGGACUGAGACACUGCCCAAACUCCUACGGGAGGCAGCAUUAGGGAAUCUUCGGCAAUGGACGAAAGUCUGACCGAGCAACGCCGCGUGAGUGAAGAAGGUUUUCGGAUCGUAAAACUCUGUUGUUAGAGAAGCGGUAUCUAACCAGAAAGCCACGGCUAACUACGUGCCAGCCGCCGCGGUAAUAC
rnacentral:rRNA from 1 species